AUUUGUAGAGUUCUGCAAGGAAAACACUUCCCACAAACUGGCUGUCUGUGCUAAUUAAGAAGCAAGUCUUCAUAAUUAUAGUUCACAUUUUUAAAAACUACCAUCUGGCCAUAAAGAUUUCAUCUGACCAUAAAGAUUUUUGCAUUUGUCUUUUGUUACACUGACACUCAAGAGUGAUAUUAAAAAUUGUCCCUUACAUGUUUAAAGCCAAUCAAGUCUCAAAACAAGUUUCUGAGGUCAAAGGCUCUGCAAUCCCCACCCUUACUUCCAUUGUGCUAUAUCUAUCUCUAUCAAGAUUAAGGAUUUAACCAUUAUCCACUAUAUGAAGCCCUGCUACCUUUAAAGCACCCGGCUGAGAAGCACGGCCAAGAAAAGCACUGAUGACGCAAUAGGCAGCUUAAUGUGUAUUGAAUGAAUGAAUGAUUCUGUAGGUGCAUCCCAAUUCAUAUGCUUAUGCACUAUGCCAUUUUGUAAUAUAAAUAUUGUGUUCACACUUAAAAAUUCCAACACAGAAUUUUGGA